rnacentral:rRNA from 1 species
AUACGGAGGGUCCAAGCGUUAUCCGGAAUCAUUGGGUUUAAAGGGUCCGUAGGCGGGCAAUUAAGUCAGAGGUGAAAGCCCAUCGCUCAACGAUGGAACUGCCUUUGAUACUGGUUGACUUGAGUUAUACGGAAGUAGAUAGAAUAAGUAGUGUAGCGGUGAAAUGCAUAGAUAUUACUUAGAAUACCGAUUGCGAAGGCAGUCUACUACGUAUAUACUGACGCUGAGGGACGAAAGCGUGGGGAGCGAACAGGAUUAGAAACCCGAGUAGUCC